AAUCCGUGGCUGAUGUCCUGAUGUACUCCCCGGAGAUGCGUUUUUCCCCGGGGAGCAGGAGUGUGUCGCUAUCCCCCUCUUUUGUCUCCGGACAGAGAGGGAUGGAAGGUGGGCCCCAGGCGCCAUUUUUAUUGGAGCCUCGUGGGGAUGCAGGGGCAGUGGAUCCUCUUCUGCGCGCCCGCUCAAGCUCCGCCCACCGCACUUCCGGUCGCCAUCUUGGGACCUGCUACGCAAUCCAUUCAGAUUGCGGCGAUGGAAGGAGCUGGAGCAGUCGCGUGUAGCUCCAAACCCUUGGGACAUCAGGUCCUUGCGGGCAGUUCUAAGCAGGUAGGUGGAGCCGCAGGGGGGAACGGGAGGGCCGGGGGGCCUGUCCCUCGCGGGGCAUAGGGCACUAAGAAGGGGAUGAAUAAUAAUAAUGUCGGAAAUAAGCCUAGUAGGAGUUCUAUUAGGAUUCAGGCGGCAAAUAAAGGGCCAUUAGGGCUGGUUUGUACUCCGGUACUGGGGAGAUCUGUUAGAAAAGUGGGGCAUAUGGAUUUAAUGGCAAGUUUAAGAAAAAGGCUGAUAUCAAGGCAUUUGUCAGGGGGGCAGUCUGCAGGAUCUGUGGGGUUGAGGGGUGCGACUGGGGGGCUCCCUGGGCAGCUUGUUUCUCCCUGUGUUGCUCCCACUUUUCCUUUUGUUCCACAGGCUGCUGUUACUGUACAUGAAGCGCAGGAGAUUGGAGUGGCUGGUGGCAGUGCGGCACAAGGCGGACCGAGAGCUGAGGUAGUCUCGACAGCAGGAGAGAAGGUGGUUGAAGGUUCCUCUGGAUCCACGCAGGCCGGGAUGGUAGCGGCAUCUGGAAACGGUCAGGACACGGGAUGCCGAAGAAUUUGGAUAGUUGGACAUUCUUAUGUUCAUUGGGCGGCCAUACGGGCAGCAUCCUGGGCGGGAGGUCAACAGUUGGUAUUGCCGACUAGCAAAGUGUCAAUUAGGUGGCUGGGUAGGAGGGGCAUGUUGUGGUCCCAACUGCCCGAACAGAUUAGUGAAGCCAGAAGGAGAUGGGUAGACCUCAUGUGAUUCUACUUCAUUUAGGAGGAAAUGAUGUGGGAACUAUGCCGAUGGGAGAUCUUGCUGAUAUUAUGGUUUCAGAUAUUAGGUGGCUGAGGACACAGUUUAAGGGAGUGACCAUUAUAUGGUCAAACAUUAUAUCCAGGAAUAUAUGGAGGCAUAUGGCUAUGAGGAAGGCUGGUUUUCGUGUAAAGAAGAAACUAAAUAGGGAUGUCUGUAAAGAGGUUUUGGCUUCAGGUGGGAAGGUAGUGUUGCAUGACAAUAUUCAUAUUGAUUAUGCGGGAUUGUUUAGGAAGGAUCAGGUGCAUUUAUCAGAUAAGGGUAAUGAUUUGUUCCUGGAGAAUAUUCGGCAGGUCCUGGCUUCUAGCUAUGUUUAGUGGGGCAAGAGUACCUUGUCCUCUUUGGGGUGGCGGAAAGGGGUGUGGCAUAACAAUCUAAUUGGCCGGUAACAUCAUAGAAGGAAAGUACAGUGGGCGUGUAGGACCCUAGUCGCCGAGGGUCUAGGGAUAGGUCGGCUCGCUGGUCGAUCUUCCUUGGGCAGAGAUGUAGGUGGAAUGAGGGCGUCCUCAUUUCCAGGGCGGCCACACCCCUUAGAGGGUUAAUUAGGACAAGAUCUUCUUGCCAGCUUGGUGGUUAUUCAGUAUUAAAGUUAUAUAUUUAUUUAAUAAAGCAACCCCUCCCCCUGUUGGGGAGGUGUUUUUUUCUCCCAACCCUGAGUGUUGUGUCGUUAUUGCAUAUAUAUAAGUUGGUAUUGGGAGGGUUGGUGUCAUGUUGACUGAAUGUAACUAAAAAAUGUAACCCCUUAGGAAAGUGGAAGACCUAAUUAGGGAUGUAACAAGUUAAGGGGUAAUUUUUUGUAAGGAAGGAAAAGCUGGUAUAGGGUUAAAAAGAUAGGAAGUGUUCCCUGCAGGGCAGGGGGAGGGAGCUUGAGAGGGUGGAGAUUCAGAGCUAAUAAUAGAGCUGCAGAACUGAAAGUAAAACCAGUAACCUGUUUUUUGUCUUCCCUCCCAGCCCUCCCUGUUUGGCAGUUGUUCGUUAUCUAAUUUUUUACAGGUCCGGUAGCAGAUGGAGGAGUUUCAGUUCGUAGCAGCUGGCUUAGUUUCCUUUGGUGGGGGGCUACAUAGUCAUGUGGACCUUUGUAAGCCCAAAGGCGUUAAUUGGUAGUAUGGGGUCUCCCUUCGGGACUAACAGUCUUUUGGCUGGGGGACCGUUGACUAUCCAGUAUUGGAGACUCCGUUAACCCUAAAAUUGAUAGGUGGGGGUUUGCAUCGCGGCAUGCUUUCCCAAGUGUGGCGGAAAGGGGUGUGGCAUAACAAUCUAAUUGGCCGGUAACAUCAUAGAAGGAAAGUACAGUGGGCGUGUAGGACCCUAGUCGCCGAGGGGCUAGGGAUAGGUCGGCUCGCUGGUCGAUCUUCCUUGGGCGGAGAUGUAGGCGGAAUGAGGGCGUCCUCAUUUCCAGGGCUGCCACACCCCUUAGAGGGUUAAUUAGGACAAGAUCUUCUUGCCAGCUUGGUGGUUAUUCAGUAUUAAAGUUAUUUAUUUAUUUAAUAAAGCAACCCCUCCCCCUGUUGGGGAGGUGUUUUUUUCUCCCAA